rnacentral:tRNA from 1 species
GCGGAUAUGGCGGAACUGGCAGACGCGCUAGACUUAGGAUCUAGUGUCUAAAGACGUGGAGGUUCGAGUCCUCUUAUCCGCACCA